rnacentral:rRNA from 1 species
GUUGUAUAGUUAAGUGACUAAGCGUACAAGGUGGAUGCCUUGGCAAUCAGAGGCGAAGAAGGACGUGCUAAUCUGCGAAAAGCUUGGAUGAGUCGAUAAGAGGCGUUUAAUCCAAGAUAUCCGAAUGGGGAAACCCAGUAGAUGAAGAAUCUACUAUCAACAAGUGAAUUCAUAGCUUGUUGAGGCAAACCGGGAGAACUGAAACAUCUAAGUACCCCGAGGAAAAGAAAUCAACCGAGAUUUCGUCAGUAGCGGCGAGCGAAAGCGAAAGAGCCAGUAAGUGAUAGCAGUAUAGUGAGGAGAAUGUGUUGGGAAACACAAUCAAAGAGGGUGAUAAUCCCGUAUCUAAAAACCAUAUUGUGGUACUAAGCUAACGAGAAGUAGGGCGGGACACGUGAUAUCCUGUUUGAAGAAGGGGGGCCCAUCCUCCAAGGCUAAAUACUCCUGAUUGACCGAUAGUGAACCAGUACUGUGAAGGAAAGGCGAAAAGAACCCCGGUGAGGGGAGUGAAAUAGAACCUGAAACCUUGUACGUACAAGCAGUGGGAGCCCCAUCACUUAAUCCGAUUGGAAGGUGAUGAAAAGCAACC